rnacentral:pre_miRNA from 1 species
CUGUUGGCAAUCUACUUUAAAUGGGGAUAAAUUACUGUAAAAGAAAUGAAUCCUAAAUAGUUUUUCCUUGAAGUCAAGCAUCUUGU